CGCGGCCUAUCAGCUUGUUGGUGAGGUAAUGGCUCACCAAGGCGAUGACGGGUAGCUGGACUGAGAGGUCGAUCAGCCACAAGGGCACUGAGACACGGGCCCUACAUCUACGGAUGGCAGCAACCGGGAAUCUUCCGCAAUGGACGAAAGUCUGACGGAGCGACGCCGCGUGGAGGAUGACAGCCUUCGGGUUGUAAACUCCUUUUAUUGUACCCUUCACAGUACAUUGAAUAAGCCUUUACUAACUACGUGCCAGAAGUCUCGGUAAUACGUAGGAGGCAAGCGUUAUCCGGAUUAACUGGGCGUAAAGCGUGCGUAGGCGGUUUUGUAAGUCGUCUUUUAAAUCCUGUGGCUCAACCACAGUUUUGGAGUCGAUACUGCAUUACUUGAGGAUCGUUCGGGGUAUCGGAACAGUUGGUGUAGCGGUGAAAUGCGUUGAUAUCAACUGGAACACCGAAGGCGAAGGCAGAUACCUGGGAUUUUCCUGACGCUGAGGUACGAAAGCUAGGGUAGCGAAAGGGAUUAGAGACCCCUGUAGUCCUAGCCGUAAACGAUGGAUGCUAGCUUCGGGUGUAUGCCUGAGGCGUAAGCUAACGCGUUAAGCAUCCCGCCUGGGGAGUACGG
rnacentral:rRNA from 1 species